CCCAGCCACAGCAGGACAUAGGCCUCAUGCUACAAACUCCACCAGCACGGGACCAGAGCACCCUAGAGGCCUCACCCACACAGCUUGUCAGCAGCCAAAACAGAAAGGGAGACCCCUUAGACCAGUGGGAUGAGUGCCCCAGCGUCCAAACAGGACAUCCAAGAUAUGCUGACCAGGCUCCAACAUAACAGCCAACAAAUGUGGCAGGCAAACCUAAAGGGUCUUGCGGCUGAAGUACAAACCGUCACUGUCAGAGGGGUAACUAGAAACCACGGCGCCCCCGUGCAAAAAUUGCCCUUGGUGCCGACACACACACACACACACACAAAUUAGUGACUUACCUGGAGUCCAGUGGCUGCCUCAUGCUGAUGGGAGUCAGAGCUGCCACUCUGACUCCCUUCUCUCCUCCUUCGCGGCGCUCUGUUGGCUGGGAGGAAGUGACGGCUUCCUCCCAGCCCGGUCGCGUUCUUAAAGCACUGCAGCGCUGACCAGGCUCAAGGAAAUCCAUUGCCAUCGGGUGGCUACAAGAGCCAUGGGCCACCUGAUGGGCUCCUUCAAUGCAUCCCCGGCGGUUUUUCCGUGCCAAAAUGAUGGCGGGCACCCCGGUCCAGGGGGUUGAAAAAGCCCAGGCGAUAGAGAAGAGGUGCAAACCCUACAACAAGGUCUUAAUGACCUGAGAGAAACAAUGCAACAGAUGCAAUCCUCAAACACCUCACUCAACAAGCAAGUCAACCUGCUGGAUGACAGGGGGAGGAGGAAGAACAU